GGUGUAUAGUAUUCAUGGAUAUAUAGUUGUUUAUUAAGCCAGUUCCCUGCUGUGGACGCUUGGAUUGUUUUCUUGCUAUUAUGAAAAAUGCUUCACAGGCUCCACCUGGCUCCCCAAGUAAUCCAGACUUGAUGAGGAGACCACACUUAGAGCAGCCCUUCACUCUACUGCAGGAGAACAACACUGCUCUUCUGUUAAGGAGACCUGGGUUUAGGUCUACCCCUGCCAGUCCUAUGGCUUUGGGAAACCCCAACUUGGAGUGGCCUUAUCAUCUACCUUUGCUUCUGGGCACCCUGGCUAUUGAAUGAAACUUGAGAAAAUCACAGAUCCAGGCUGACUGGUGCUGCUCACCUGAGCUCGCCACACCGUGCAAACACCACAGUACUCCAGCCACUCUCUUGUUCUGCACAAGGACUGUUCCAAAUGUACCUUUCUCUCUUCAAACUUCAGAGUGAGGAAGGGGUUAUGAGCUAAGGAAUGCAAGAGGCCUCCAGAAGCUAAGAAAGGCAAGGAAACAGAUUCUCCCCUACAACCUCCCGAAGGAACCAGUCCUGCAAACUUGUUGGGUUAUGCUUAGUGAAACUGAUUUUGGACAUUUGGCCUCUGCACCUACAAGAGAAUAAAUCUGUUUUGCUUAAAGUCA